AGCAAGAUGAUAGGAUAGAAAGAUAGGGACAGGUGACACACAUAGAGGGAGAGAGUAAGAUGAUAGGAUAGAAAGAUAGGGACAGGUGACACACAUAGAGGGAGAGAGUAAGAUGAUAGGAUAGAAAGAUAGGGACAGGUGACACACAUAGAGGGAGAGAGUAAGAUGAUAGGAUAGAAAGAUAGGGACAGGUGACACACAUAGAGGGAGAGAGUAAGAUGAUAGGAUAGAAAGAUAGGGACAGGUGACACACAUAGAGGGAGAGAGUAAGAUGAUAGGAUAGAAAGAUAGGGACAGGUGACACACAUAGAGGGAGAGAGUAAGAUGAUAGGAUAGAAAGAUAGGGACAGGUGACACACAUAGAGGGAGAGAGUAAGAUGAUAGGAUAGAAAGAUAGGGACAGGUGACACACAUAGAGGGAGAGAGUAAGAUGAUAGGAUAGAAAGAUAGGGACAGGUGACACACAUAGAGGGAGAGAGUAAGAUGAUAGGAUAGAAAGAUAGGGACAGGUGACACACAUAGAGGGAGAGAGUAAGAUGAUAGGAUAGAAAGAUAGGGACAGGUGACACACAUAGAGGGAGAGAGUAAGAUGAUAGGAUAGAAAGAUAGGGACAGGUGACACACAUAGAGGGAGAGAGUAAGAUGAUAGGAUAGAAAGAUCGGGACAGGUGACACACAUAGAGGGAGAGAGUAAGAUGAUAGGAUAGAAAGAUCGGGACAGGUGACACAUAGAGGGAGAGAGUAAGAUGAUAGGAUAUAAAGAUAGGGACAGGUGACAUAUAGAGGGAGAGAGUAAGAUGAUAGGAUAGAAA